rnacentral:rRNA from 1 species
CGGGUGAGUAACACGUGGGCAAUCUGCCCUGCACUCUGGGACAAGCCCUGGAAACGGGGUCUAAUACCGGAUACUGACCCGCUUGGGCAUCCAAGCGGUUCGAAAGCUCCGGCGGUGCAGGAUGAGCCCGCGGCCUAUCAGCUUGUUGGUGAGGUAAUGGCUCACCAAGGCGACGACGGGUAGCCGGCCUGAGAGGGCGACCGGCCACACUGGGACUGAGACACGUUACAGACUCCUACGGGAGGCAGCAGUGGGGAAUAUUGCACAAUGGGCGAAAGCCUGAUGCAGCGACGCCGCGUGAGGGAUGACGGCCUUCGGGUUGUAAACCUCUUUCAGCAGGGAAGAAGCGAAAGUGACGGUACCUGCAGAAGAAGCGCCGGCUAACUACGUGCCAGCAGCCGCGGUAAUACGUAGGGCGCGAGCGUUGUCCGGAAUUAUUGGGCGUAAAGAGCUCGUAGGCGGCUUGUCACGUCGGUUGUGAAAGCCCGGGGCUUAACCCCGGGUCUGCAGUCGAUACGGGCAGGCUAGAGUUCGGUAGGGGAGAUCGGAAUUCCUGGUGUAGCGGUGAAAUGCGCAGAUAUCAGGAGGAACACCGGUGGCGAAGGCGGAUCUCUGGGCCGAUACUGACGCUGAGGAGCGAAAGCGUGGGAGCGAACAGCAUUAGAUACCCUGGUAGUCCACGCCGUAAACGGUGGGCACUAGGUGUGGGCGACAUUCCACGUCGUCCGUGCCGCAGCUAACGCAUUAAGUGCCCCGCCUGGGGAGUACGGCGCAAGCUAAAACUCAAGGGAUUGACGGGGGCCCGCA